ensembl:lncRNA
CUUGCUGUCCCCAGUCCACCUGGUCGUGCUGCUGCUCCAGUUUGAACUGUUCUGCCUGUGGCUAUGGAACCCUGACCUGUUCACCGGACGUGCUACCUGUUCCAGACCUGCUGUUUUCAACUCUCUAGAGACACCAAGAGCGGUAGAGAUACUCUGAAUGAUCGGCUAUGAAAAGCCAACUGACAUUUACGCCUGAGGUGCUGACCGGCACCCUCUACAACCACUGUGAUUAUUAUUAUUUGACCCUACUGGUCAUUUAUGAAUAUUUGAACAUCUUGGCCAUGUUCUGUUAUAAUCUCCACUCAGCACAGCCAGAAGAGGACUGGCCACCCCUCAGCCUGGUUCCUCUCUAGGUUUCUUCCUAGGUUCUGGCCUUUUUAGGGAGUUUUUCUUAGCCACCGUGCUUCUACACCUGCAUUGCUUGCUGUUUGGGGUUUUAGGCUGGGUUUCUGUACAGCACUUUGUGACAUCAGCUGAUGUAAGAAGGGCUUUAUAAAUUAAUUUGAUUGAUUGAAACUCUUUUCUUUUGGGGGAACUAUCAUUUUCAAAUGUGUUCUAUUUUAGUCCAUGAUAUUGUUACAAAAUAGAUGUGUUGACUGAUUAGGGUAUGGGAAUAUAAGAGCAUCUGCUAGGCUAAAUUAAACUAGGCAUGCACAGCGCACCACAUGAUCCUCAAACCAAAGACUGGCCAAACUCGUGCUUCUAAAAGUGAAUUCAAAAAGGUGUUUUUCAGUUCAUUCUGAUCAGAAUGAGUUGUUCCCCACACAAGGGCUUUCUUACAGACAGAAAUACCCUCCCCCUCAUCAGAUUUGGAGGUCCUGGGCUACAUUUUUUUGUAGAUAUUUAAGGAGUGCAUGGUCACUGAAGUGAUUGGCUGACAAUCUAUGGAUGGUAGACUAUAAAUUCAUCUGUCAAACAGUGAUGAGUGACUAUGACUGCCAGUAAAACAGAUGAGGAUGGAACUGGGCCAGUGGAGCAGGCUCUGUCUCAGGACACAUCAGUGAUGACAGUGUCUCAGUGUGUUCUGGCUCUGUGGAUGCUGUUUCCUACCUGACCCUACACCAGAGGAGGAGCAGGGGCUGAUGAGCAUGCCCAAGACCAUGAUGGGAACAAUUUUAACCUGAGGAGGUGGUACAGGAUCAUGCAGUCUUCCCUGACCACAGACAGAGACAGCAGGACAACAUAGCCAGACUCUUUUCCCUCACCCUCCCUCUCCCCAUCUUCCCUCACCUUCUCCCACUAACCACACAUUUCCCUCACGCUCCUUCUCACCAUCAUCCCUCACACCACACUCUAUUCCCUCACCCUCCCUCUCCCUUUUCCCCCUCACCCUCUCCCACUAACCACGCUCUUCCCUCACCCUCCCUCUCCCCCUCUCCCACUAACACUCCCCCCCCAUCCUCACCUUCCCCAGGUGUUGCGGAGCAGCUACAGAUGAGUUUCCAGUAGCUGUUUGGUUCCCCUGCGGCCCCUACAUCCUCCGGGCCCAGCCUGCACCACCAAACCGUGGAGAGCAACCCUCCAGCCCUCCAACCUAAAAUACUGGCACCCAGCCCUGAGGGCCUGCAAGCCCAGGUUCUGUAAGAACCACUAUGCGGAGAUGGAGGCCACUCUCCUCAGGAUGUACGAAUGGCUACUGGACCGGUUCUCCUUCUUCCUGGGGGUGAAACCUGACUGUGUGUAUGAAGAAGUACUGAAGGUGGAGAGGCAUUUCCUCAGGAGCAGCAAGCCCUGGGCUAGAGCUUUAACUACGCCCACAAAGACACAGCCCAGAAAACAGCCCAACGGCAAACAAACCAGAAAAACAACUUUGUUCUCUAGGCAGCUAAAGAGAGUGACUUCAUCGGGACCAACUACUAUGGAUAGUUACUGUGCCAUAAUGCCAUGCUGACGGAUUACUUUCAUUUUUGUCUCGAUGUAACAUGAUUGUUUGCCUUUUUGUACAAAUUGCCUGUGGAUUACAAUGUGAUUACGAUGUGAUAUGAUGUUUAUGAACAUGCUGUACUUUCAGUUAUAUUAAACUAUAUUUUCUGUUAUUACAAUGAUAUACGUGAACCUUUGUCCCAGCUAUGAAUCGAGGUUCAUAAAAAUCAGACAUUUAUGCACAUACGGCUAUGCAACUCUGUUAAUUAAGGAAUACCAGACAUUUUAGGCUAAGACUACAGGCUGUCAAUUUGCGUGUUACUUUAGUUUUGAGUGUGAUGGACAGGUAAUGGGUGUUACCUGCCAUUAGUGGUUUUGGACGGCUUUGUCCCAAUUCCCGGACACUUCUAUGAAACUUUGUAGAAGCACCUAUGGCAGCGAUUACAGCUUUGAGUCGUCUUGUCUGUAUCAGCAUUGCACAUCUGGAUUUGGGGAUUUUCUCUCAUUCUUCCUUGCAGAUUUUCUCAUGCUCUGUUAAGUUAGAUGGGGAGCGGCAGUGAACAGCAAUCUUCAAGUCACUGCAGAUCAUCACCAAAUUUCACAGUGGGUGUGAGACCUGGAGAGGCCUACAAGCCACAGUGCCAGGUCAAUCAAGGUGUGGAUAGAGGACCACCAGAUCAAGACCCUGUCAUGGCCAGCCCAAUCUCCAGACCUGAACCCCAUUGAAAACCUCUAGAAUGUGAUCAAGAGGAAGAUGAAUGGUCACAAGCCAUCAAACAAAGCCAAGCUACUUACAUUUUUGCUCCAGAAGUGGCAUACAAUUGGAAAAUCUGAACAUCGCUCCCCAUGAUAGCUGUCUUUCGGAACGUGUUCCCACCUAUAAAUACCUUGGAGUUUGGUUAGAUGAUCAUCUCUUUUAAAACUCGUAACUGAGAUGGCAAAGAAGCUGUGUCAUCAGAGCACAGAACGUAAAUUGUACAGGCCACUUAUGUCAGUGCUUGAUUAUGGUGAUGUUUUAUAUAUGCAUGGAUCAGCAUCAGUACUGAAGACAUUGGAUGCAGCGUUGCGCUUUGUUACUUUUGCACACAACAUUGCCUUUUAUACACUUUGGCUGGCUGGGACUCCCUGACUUUUAGAAGGACCAGAUACUGGUUGAUAUUUGUCUAUAAAGCUGUCUUACAGAAACUUCCUAAUUAUCUUAACUCAACAAUCCAGUGGUCAAACAGAAUUUAUCAGACUCGGUCACAGGACAUGCUAGUGCUAGAGAUGCCCCAGAUUCACUCUGAGUUAGGCAAAACGGCAUUUCAAUAUCAUGCUCCACACUCAUGGAAUGAAUUGCAGAGAGAACUCCAGUUAGAUGUUUUGGUGCCUGUAAGACAGUUUAAAUGCACAUUACAUUAACUUUUUAGUAUAAACUGUGAUUUCUUUUUGUAAUGUGUUUUUCUUAUAGAAGUGUAUUUAUUUAAAUAGUUUUCAUCUCCGUCUUGUUACGGCUGUUAAAGGAAGAGGACCAAAGCGCAGCGUGGUUGGCGUACAUUUUCCUUUAUUGAAUAAAAAUGACGCCGAACAAAACAAUAAACACUACAAAACAGCUAAAGGCUAUGUGCCCUAAACAAAGUCAACUUUCCACAAAGACAGGUGGGAAAAGGGCUACCUAAGUAUGUUUCUCAAUCAGAGACAACGAUGGACAGCUGCCUCUGAUUGAGAACCACACCCUGCCAAACACAAAGAAAUAGAAACAUAGAAAUAAAGAAACUAGAAUGCCCACCCUAGUCACACCCUGGCCUAACCAAAAUAGAGAAUAAAAGCCUCUCUAGGGUGUGACACUUGUACUUUUUAUAUAUUUUCAUUUUGUUUGGUUUCAAAUUCAUAUUAAUUGCUGUGUUUGUAUUGUUGUAUCACAGGGCACAACUGUAAAAGAGACUGUCUCAGCUUGUUUCUCCUGUUUUAAUAAAGAUUAAUAAAAGAAAGUCACCCAACAUCAAUGUGAAAAACUGAUGGAGAGCAUGCCAAGACACAUGAAAUCAGGGUUAUUCUACCAAAUAUUGAUUUCUGAACUCUUCCUAAGUUAAAACAUUAGUAUUGUGUUGUUAAAAAUGAAUAUGAACUUAAUUUCUUUGCAUUAUUC